UUAUGGAUGAGGCAACUGAAGCACAGCGAAUAUUAGGUAACUGUUAAAGAUAAGAUUUGAACCCAAGCGGUCUGGCACAGCAGCCGGAACCUCCGACCACCCAUCACACAGUUCCGCCUCUAUUAGAAGAAGACCACUCUGGUGAGCUUCCUGGGGGAGGAGAAACUCUUGUUACAAUAAUCAAUAAUCAAUCAAAUUUCCAAGGAGAUUUCUCUGGACCUUUGGAGGGAGAUUCAAAAGCCCUUCUCCAUCCCACUUCUAGGUCUGCUUGCUAAGUCAGGAAUAAAGCUACCCUGGAUCUUCUGGAACUUUCUGUUCUCUGAGGCAGGAGGGCAUUUCUUUGGCCAGGACCUCCCAGCUCAGAGGCUCAUUGGCCCCAGAAACAUGGGUGGCCCACUGGAGGUGGGCUGUGCCAGUUGGCUUUCAGACGGGAAGCUGCUGGGCACGCUUGUUCUCCACCACACCUCUGCAAGGUGAACCUGGGACUGGGAGGGACAGCCUGCUGAGGACUGAGAGCGUGGGACACUUAUGACUGUCACACUCCUUCUCUGCAAAUCUUCCUCUAAAAGGCUUCCCAGGGCUUGGCUCUGCUUGGUUCUCUGAGCUCCUCCUGCAGGCAGCUGCCUUUCAGUUCACUAUUGUAUCCCAGUGAAUCCAAAAUUAGCUUGAUUCACAACAGAAAAUGAGCACAAAACCCCUCUAUAGCCAGAGAGUGAUUGUCUACAAAGUCCUAUGUGGUAGAAAUAAGGCUUUGCCCCAAGGAGCCAUCUGGCUGUGUGCCCUCUCCCACACGCACACUUCCAUUUGGCACACUUAUUGUUAUCCUGUGCUGUGAGGGAACAGAGGUACUGGCCACGGAUCCAUUGCAGAGGAGCCAGCUUAUACUCCCACGGUGCUAGGAAGGAGGCGGGACAGGUAAGACAAGCACACAAACCAUGGAAAAAACUGGAGGAAACUUUCCACACCUCUUAAGCAACUGGUGCAUUUCCCUGUGGUGUAGGUUGAGUAAGUAAGCCCGAGGAGAGAGGAUGGGGUGGACUCAGAUGCCCAGGGAGGCAAGUCUUGGUUUGGGGUUUUCAGGAAGGCAGGGCCACUUGUAGAGAUUGCAGCUGGUGGUGAACUGGGGUCUGUGGAGGUGGCAGGCAGAAAUAGCAACUCGUGUGUCCAUGGUGGCACCGUUUUCAAUGCGCCUUCAUAACCAUAUCUCGUUUGAUCCUGACAGUCCCUCUAUAAGCAGUUUGCCACUGUCAUUUUUCAGAUGAAAACAUCGAGGCUUAGAGGGGUUUCUGAGUAGCUGAGAAGUCAGGACUUCACACUCCCGAUCUUUCCCCUGGCCUCCAGUUUGCCUGGCAAAGUCACAGGAAGUAUCUCCAUGGCACCGCAUCAGCCCUCACAGAGCAGGAAACCUUGAUUUCUACAGAGGCUGUUUCCUCCCAGCCUUGUGCAAGGCCCACUGCAGAGACAAAAUUAUGGUGGCCAAAGUGUGAAUGCCAAGGCCACACUGGCCUCCAUCCCUGGGAUUUGCUGGUAGAAGAAAGGGAAUCAGCGCUGACUGAGCUCCUACUAUGUGCCCUUCCUGGGCCUGGCACUGGAAUCACAGGAUGAAUGAAUAAGGCAUAUUUCCUGCCCUGAGGAGGCGUCUAUAGGGGAAGUCGGAAUUAAGGCACCUCCAGAAUUCUGAGGUCAAGGGAAUGUCAACAGAGCUGUGAACAAAAUGCCCAAAGCCAUGAAAAUCUACAGAGAGAGACUCGAAGGGGAGGAAUGGGGUAGGAGCUGGUGCCGAGGAUGAGAGGGGAGAAUUCACCUGGUGGAGAACUGAUAGGCCAGGCUGAGGUCGGGAUGGUGGAGGAGGUGGUGGAGGUGAUGAGGUACCAGAGCAACCUCGAAGAAAGCUGAGAGGCAGGAGACCGCCAAAGGCAAACUUGGAACACCUGGUGACUCCGACUAACUCUCCAUGUGGUGUCCUUGAGGACUUUUAUGAUACUGCUACCACUGCUAAUAGUAAUAAAAGCCACUAUUUAAUGUGUUUACUAUGCGCUGGGUGUGCAAAUAUUGUGGAAAGAGUGAACAUAUGUGCAGAAUGCUUAAUAAACGUGAUCUCCUUUUAUCUUCAAAAGAACAAUACAGGCCAGGUGCGGUGGCUCAUGCCUAUAAUUCCAGCACUUUGGGAGGCCGAGGCAGAUGGAUUGCUUGAGCUCAAGAAGUUUCAGACCAGCCUGGGCAACAUGGCAAAACCCCAUCUCUACAAAAAAAUACCCAAAAAAUUAGCCAGGUGUGAUGUUGCCUGCCUGUGGUCCCAGCUACUCCAGAGGUUGAGGUGGGAGAAUCGCGUGAGCCCAGAAGGUCAAGGCUGCAGUGAGCUGUGAUCCUGCCACUGCACUCCAGCCUGGGGUGACAGAGUGAGACCCUGCCUAAAAAAAAAAGAAUCAAUACGAUUAAUACUUUUACUUCUAUUUUUCAGACAAGGAAAUUGAGGCUCAGAGAGGUUAGGAACUUGCCAGAAGACCUACCAGCAAGUGGCAGAGCUAAGGUCCCAUCUGACCCCAAAGCCCACCCAUAACCGCUAUGCAGUACUGUCCAGGCAGAAACACAAACAUUACCCCAUUGUUUUUAUUCUUCAACACCUUUGGUAUCAUCCAGUCCCAGGACACUGGCUCCUGAGGAAGGAAGGCCCCUCCCACAUCCUUUAAAAUUCCCAGGCAUAAAACCAUGUUCACCAGCCACCGUGAGGGUAAGCCUCAGAGACAGGGACCGUGCCCAC
rnacentral:lncRNA from 1 species